UUGAGAUUGGAAGAGGAUUCUUGAUUCAAACACUCAAUAAGCACAAAACAAAAUAUUGCAUCAACCUACAACAUGACAGUGAGUGACGUCACAGGAAAACUGUCUAUCCUGGGAGCCUGUAACGUGCUGGCAGACUUGGACAGAAGGAGCAACAUUGAUAAGAAAACUAAUGAACUUUGCAUUUUGAGAGUGCAGGCCAAGUAGACGGUAACCUACUGGGGAUGGGAGGAGCUGCUCCUAAAAUGUUUAUAUUUCUCUCAGAUAAACCAGAAGGAUGCCAAAAACGUUGUUAAAUGACAAAGGAUUGAGUGCAUCAUUUGGAGCUGAAGUUCUUACCCGAGUAAAAACUGUUGGUGCUGAUCGUUCUCUUGGAGUGAUCUGAGCUGAUGUCACACUCUU